AUUGAACGCUGGCGGCAUGCUUUACACAUGCAAGUCGAACGGUAACAGGCCGCAAGGUGCUGACGAGUGGCGAACGGGUGAGUAAUGCAUCGGAACGUGCCCAGUCGUGGGGGAUGACUACUCGAAAGAGUAGCUAAUACCGCAUACGAUCUAUGGAUGAAAGCGGGGGACCGUAAGGCCUCGCGCGAUUGGAGCGGCCGAUGUCAGAUUAGGUAGUUGGUGGGGUAAAGGCUCACCAAGCCAACGAUCUGUAGCUGGUCUGAGAGGACGACCAGCCACACUGGAACUGAGACACGGCCCAGACUCCUACGGGAGGCAGCAGUGGGGAAUUUUGGACAAUGGGCGCAAGCCUGAUCCAGCAAUGCCGCGUGCAGGAAGAAGGCCUUCGGGUUGUAAACUGCUUUUGUACGGAACGAAACGGCUCUGGUUAAUACCCGGGGCUAAUGACGGUACCGUAAGAAUAAGCACCGGCUAACUACGUG
rnacentral:rRNA from 1 species